GGAUGCGAUCAUACCAGCACUAAUGCACCGGAUCCCAUCAGAACUCCGCAGUUAGAGCGGCUUGGGCGAGAGUAGUACUAGGAUGGGUGACCUCCCGGAAGUCCUCGUGUUGCAUCCC
rnacentral:rRNA from 1 species